UCCAAUUUGUUUUCAUGCCGCUGACAGAGACAAACCCAAGACUGGGUAAUUGGUAAAGAAAAAGGUUUAGUGAACUCAUAAUUCCACAUGGGUGGGGAGUCCUCACAAUCAUGGCAGAAGGUAA